GAUGAACGCUGGCGGCGUGCCUAAUACAUGCAAGUCGAACGACGAGGGCGCGGGUGAGUAACACGUGUCUAACCUCCUAUAAGACUGGGGAAAAUUCGGGAAACCGGUGCUAAUACCGCUUCUUAUAGCUGGCUGCGCGUGGCAUUAGCUAGUUGGUAAGGUAACGGCUUACCCAGGCAACGACGCGUAGCCGACCUGAGAGGGUGAUCGGCCACACUGGAACUGAGACACGGUCCAGACUCCUACGGGAGGCAGCAGUAGGGAAUCUUGCGCAAUGGGCGAAAGCCUGACGGAGCAACGCCGCGUGAGUGAUGAAGGCCUUCGGGUCGUAAAACUCUGUCAGUAGGGAGGCGUUACCUACACAGAAAGCCACGGCUAACUCCGUGCCAGCAGCCGCGGUAAUAC
rnacentral:rRNA from 1 species